CCUACGGGGGGCAGCAGUGAGGAAUAUUGGUCAAUGGGCUUACGCCUGAACCAGCCAAGUCGCGUGAGGGAAGACUGCCCUAUGGGUUGUAAACCUCUUUUGUCAGGGAGCAAUUGGCGCUACGUGUAGCGUUAUCGAGAGUACCUGAAGAAAAAGCAUCGGCUAACUCCGUGCCAGCAGCCGCGGUAAUACGGAGGAUGCGAGCGUUAUCCGGAUUUAUUGGGUUUAAAGGGUGCGUAGGCGGAUUUUUAAGUCAGCGGUAAAAUGUCCGGGCUCAACCCGGGCCGGCCGUUGAAACUGGGGAUCUUGAGUGGGCGAGAAGUAUGCGGAAUGCGUGGUGUAGCGGUGAAAUGCAUAGAUAUCACGCAGAACUCCGAUUGCGAAGGCAAGUGUCCGGGGUGCAACUGACGCUGAGGCUCGAAAGUGCGGGUAUCAAACAGGAUUAGAUACCCUUGUAGUC
rnacentral:rRNA from 1 species